rnacentral:rRNA from 1 species
UGGCGGCGUGCCUAAUACAUGCAAGUCGAGCGAACAGAUAAGGAGCUUGCUCCUUUGACGUUAGCGGCGGACGGGUGAGUAACACGUGGAUAACCUACCUAUAAGACUGGGAUAACUUCGGGAAACCGGAGCUAAUACCGGAUAAGAUUUUGAACCGCAUGGUUCAAUAGUGAAAGACGGCCUUGCUGUCACUUAUAGAUGGAUCCGCGCCGUAUUAGCUAGUUGGUAAGGUAACGGCUUACCAAGGCAACGAUACGUAGCCGACCUGAGAGGGUGAUCGGCCACACUGGAACUGAGACACGGUCCAGACUCCUACGGGAGGCAGCAGUAGGGAAUCUUCCGCAAUGGGCGAAAGCCUGACGGAGCAACGCCGCGUGAGUGAUGAAGGUCUUCGGAUCGUAAAACUCUGUUAUCAGGGAAGAACAAACGUGUAAGUAACUGUGCACGUCUUGACGGUACCUGAUCAGAAAGCCACGGCUAACUACGUGCCAACAGCCGCGGUAAUACGUAGGUGGCAAGCGUUAUCCGGAAUUAUUGGGCGUAAAGCGCGCGUAGGC